rnacentral:rRNA from 1 species
UGCCAGCAGCCGCGGUAAUACGGAGAGGGCAAGCGUUGUUCGGAUUUACUGGGCAUAAAGCGCACGUAGGCGGAUCAGUAAGUCGGUUGUGAAAUCCCAGGGCUUAACCCUGGAACUGCUUCCGAAACUACUAAUCUUGAGGAUGAGAGGGGAGAGUGGAACUUCUGGUGGAGCGGUGAAAUGCGUAGAUAUCAGAAGGAACACCGGUGGCGAAAGCGACUCUCUGGGUCUCUUCUGACGCUGAGGGACGAAAGCUAGGGGAGCAAACAGGAUUAGAUA